CUCCCUGUGGCUCAGUUGGUAGAGCAUGGUGUUUGCAACGCCAGCAUGGUGUGUGCAACGCCAGGGUUGUGGGUUCGAUUCCCACAGGGGGC
rnacentral:tRNA from 1 species